rnacentral:rRNA from 1 species
GAUUAACGCUGGCGGCGUGCCUAAUACAUGCAAGUCGAACGAAGAGUAGCUGGUAAUUUAUUACUGGUUGUUCUUAGUGGCGAAUGGGUGAGUAACGCGUUGGUGACCUGCCCCGAAGUGUGGGAUAACUCUGGGAAACUGGAGCUAAUACCGCAUGUGGUCAUGGGUUUUAGAAAACCAUGUCCAAAGGACUUCGGUUCGCUUCGGGAGGGGCCUGCGUCCCAUCAGCUAGUUGGUAGGGUAAUAGCCUACCAAGGCGAAGACGGGUAGGGGACCUGAGAGGGUGGCCCCCCACAAUGGUACUGAAAUACGGACCAUACACCUACGGGUGGCUG